rnacentral:rRNA from 1 species
UACAGAGGUGGCAAGCGUUGUUCGGAAUUACUGGGCGUAAAGGGCGCGUAGGCGGCCAUCUAAGUCAGACGUGAAAUCCCCCGGCUUAACCUGGGAACUGCGUCUGAUACUGGACGGCUCGAGUUUGGGAGAGGGAUGCAGAAUUCCAGGUGUAGCGGUGAAAUGCGUAGAUAUCUGGAGGAAUACCGGUGGCGAAGGCGGCAUCCUGGACCAACACUGACGCUGAGGCGCGAAAGCUAGGGGAGCAAACGGG